UUAAAUAUGGAACACUUCACGAAUUUGUGUCAUCCUUUUGCAGGGUCCAUGCUAAUCUUCUCUGUAUCGUUCCAAUUUUAGUGUAUGUGCUGCCGAAGCGAGCAC
rnacentral:snRNA from 1 species